UACGUAGGGUGCGAGCGUUAAUCGGAAUUACUGGGCGUAAAGCGUGCGCAGGCGGUUCUGUAAGUCAGCUGUGAAAGCCCCGGGCUUAACCUGGGAACUGCGUCUGAUACUGGAAGGCUUGAGUGCGGGAGAGGGAUGUGGAAUUCCAGGUGUAGCGGUGAAAUGCGUAGAUAUCUGGAGGAACACCGGUGGCGAAGGCGGCAUCCUGGACCGACACUGACGCUGAGGCGCGAAAGCUAGGGUAGCAAACGGG
rnacentral:rRNA from 1 species